CACGGGGGGAGCAAGCGUUGUUCGGAAUCACUGGGCGUAAAGAGCGUGUAGGCGGCCAGACAGGUCCGUUGUGAAAACUGGAGGCUCAACCUCCAGACGUCGAUGGAAACCGUCUGGCUAGAGUCCGGAAGAGGAGAGUGGAAUUCCGCGUGUAGCAGUGAAAUGCGUAGAUAUGCGGAGGAACACCGAUGGCGAAGGCAAUCCCCUGGACCUGUACU
rnacentral:rRNA from 1 species